rnacentral:rRNA from 1 species
UACGGAGGGUGCAAGCGUUAUCCGGAUUCACUGGGUUUAAAGGGUGCGUAGGUGGUUUUAUAAGUCAGUGGUGAAAGCCCGGAGCUUAACUCCGGAACUGCCAUUGAUACUGUUUAACUUGAAUCGAGUGGAGGUGGAUGGAAUAUUACAUGUAGCGGUGAAAUGCUUAGAUAUGUAAUAGAACACCGAUUGCGAAGGCAGUUCACUAUACUCGUAUUGACACUGAGGCACGAAAGCGUGGGGAUCAAACAGG